rnacentral:misc_RNA from 1 species
CCAGACUAUGGUCGUGGUCGAGAUAGGCCUAUUUCUGACUUCGAUCGCGGUAGAGAUCGGCCAAAUUCUGACUUUGGUCGUGGUAGAGAUCAGCUAAGUCCUGACUAUGGUCGUGGCCCUAGUCGAAGUCCUAAGCACAGGGAAGGGAAUUCUGAGUAUGGCCGUGGCCAUAGUCCAGCUGUAGGAAAGGAGAGAAAUCCUGGUCAUGGGAAUGUUCGUAGCCCUAGCCCUCGUAGGGAAAGAACAGGUCCAGGAAAUGGUCUUAUGAGCAGUCCACUGAACAUAAGUCCUGGUUAUGGUGAUGGACCCAGUCCUAGUGCUCAGAGGGAGAGGAGAGAUAAAUAUAGCCCGGAUGGUCAUAAUCGUGGCAGCAGCCCAGGUCCUAAACCUGAACCAGUAGGAAGUCCUGUACGUGAUGGUAGGGGAAGUUCAGAGUGAUGCAGGAGUCGUUCGCCUCCAGCUCGGGAAAGAUCGCGCUCCUGAUUUGCUUGAAGCUGUUUUUAUACUUGGAAGUAAUAUCUGUAGGAUGGUUAUGUUGAAAGUGGUGCUGUAGAAUUACACCUUGAAGUUGCUUGGAAUAUCAAAGUACGUAGCAUGUGGGUUUUAGAACCAAUGUAAUAUACCUUGGGAGAUGGUUUUUGCUCUUGG